rnacentral:rRNA from 1 species
UACGGGGGGGGCAAGCGUUGUUCGGAAUUACUGGGCGUAAAGGGCGCGUAGGUGGCCAACUAAGUCAGACGUGAAAUCCCCCGGCUUAACCGGGGAACUGCGUCUGAUACUGGAUGGCUAGAGUGUGGGAGAGGGAUGCGGAAUUCCAGGUGUAGCGGUGAAAUGCGUAGAUAUCUGGAGGAACACCGGUGGCGAAGGCGGCAUCCUGGACCAUGACUGACACUGAAACGCGAAAGCCAGGGGAGCAAACGGG